rnacentral:rRNA from 1 species
AUUGAACGCUGGCGGCAUGCUUUACACAUGCAAGUCGAACGGUAACAGGUUAAGCUGACGAGUGGCGAACGGGUGAGUAAUGCAUCGGAACGUGCCCGGUCGUGGGGGAUAACGCAGCGAAAGCUGCGCUAAUACCGCACACGAUCUAAGGAUGAAAGCGGGGGACCGUAAGGCCUCGCGCGAUCGGAGCGGCCGAUGUCAGAUUAGGUAGUUGGUGGGGUAAAGGCUCACCAAGCCAACGAUCUGUAGCUGGUCUGAGAGGACGACCAGCCACACGGGGACUGAGACACGGCCCAGACUCCUACGGGAGGCAGCAGGGGGGAAUUUUGGACAAUGGGCGAAAGCCUGAUCCAGCAAUGCCGCGUGCAGGAAGAAGGCCUUCGGGUUGUAAACUGCUUUUGUACGGGGCGAAAAGGUCUCCUCUAAUACAGGGGGCUCAUGACGGUACCGUAAGAAUAAGCACCGGCUAACUACGUGCCAGCAGCCGCCGUAA